rnacentral:rRNA from 1 species
AUGCCACGCUUCAAUCCGAACAUUUGGAGGGAGCAGGAAUCGUUAGAUCGGGCCAAAGCAACGGGGCCGUACCUGGGAGAACUUGAUGUGGUGCUCGCCGUCGACUUGGAGGGAUCCGGAGACGAAGACGAGCAUGCCGCCCGUGGGGCCGGCGGGCUGGCAGUCGACAGUGACGACGGUGUGGGCGCACUUGGUGAAGGGGAGGGAGGUGAGCUUGGUGGCGAUGGCGGCGGCUCCCUGGAACUUCUCGCCCUCGAAGGAGAGCAUGGAGCCCUCCUGGUACAGCCCCACCAGCGCCGCCCGGUUGGUGUCGAACGUGCGGUAGUAGUGCUCGACGAACGCCUUCGCCACUGA